rnacentral:tRNA from 1 species
AUCGGGGUAGCUCAGAUGGUAGAGUGGGGGACUGAAAAUCCCCAGGUCGUAGGUUCGAGCCCUGCCUCCGAUA